GUUCUAUGUGAUUUGUCUGGUAUUAAAAUGGUUUGGCUUUGCACCUUAGGUUUGUUUUUCCUCACCACCACAUGUACUGGAAAAAAAGGAUUUGAAAAUGGAUACACUUUUUCAAACCAAAACCUGGAUUUUCCAUGAUUUCUGAUGUAUUUCAUAAACUCUGUCUAAACUUUUCAACGAGACGAAACAAUGCCAACAUUCAAAUGUAGGUCUGCAUGGGCAGUUUGUUGUGUUAACACAGUUAUUGCAGAUGAGAGAUGCAACGGUCUGCCAAAAAAAACAGAAGCGAAGGCCGGUUGGAUGGCGGGUCGGACGCGCGCGACUUCUGUUCUGUUCUCACAGUGGCGCGCGCGCGUCACUCCGCACACUGAAUGAGCGCUUUGACUAACACGCGUUAAAUGAAAAGCUCCAGCAAGAAUGGGCAAUGUAAGCAUAAAUAAGAGAAAGAAAAAAGCUGAAAGUAAACGGAGGAUUUCUUUUGCUGGCAGGUAUUUCCGACUAGUCCCUUUGAGGUGAUGACUCUGGCUGGCUUCAGGCAGGAGUGAAACCUGUUGGUCCAACAAAUUUAUUUAAACUACACUGGACAUUAACACCAAUUUAAAGCUGAACAUCUCUGGGCAUCAGAAGGAAACCAAAGCAUUUGGAGGACAUCUUUAAUGUCCACAGUGCCAAGGCUGCAAAAUGGACCCAAGUGUGCGUAUAUACAGUAGUGUAGCUCUUUCUCGCACUCUCUCUCUCUAUAUAUAUAUAUACAGUAUAUAUAAAUAAUUCUUGCCUGUACAACCCUGAGAAAGUCACUUAGCCUUACUGUAAUCCAAGUUAAAAACGUCUGAAUUAGUUGUAAGGGUCUUCAUAAGAAAUGCAAUGAUUUACUUCAUGUGGUAGAGGUGAAUAAUAAACAAGAAUAGCUGCAUCAUGUAUUUGAAAUAUUAAAAUGUGUUCUUCAAUUUAAAUGUUUAAAGUCUAAAUAUUUUCAGUUGUAAUGGAAAUUUGUCAUUGUCCCCCUCUGAUCGAGGUACAUAGAAUGCUAAUUCCCUAGUAAAGAAUCAUAAACUAAAAAGAACGUCAUAUGCAUUAUCACUGACCUUGAAUUAGUCUAAAGCGAUACCCCACAUGCUUAUGUUUGAAAUGUAUCAUUUUUAACCUUCGGGGAGUGGAACUUAGAGGGCUAGGACCACCAGUAAAGAGUGAAAUAUCAAAAACAUGGUCAUAUGCGUUAUCAGCAACCUCAAAAUUGAAUAAGGCAAC